ACAACAAGAGAGGUGUUCAAGCCGUUCAGCUUAUGCAGAACACGGGAACAAUUCAAAUUCCUCUUCAGCUGUGUCAGUCAUCUCCAAAGUCGACACCUGCAGCUGUGUUAAAUUAUAAAGGAGCUCCGAAAAUGAGAGGGGAUGGACUUAUCAUUAAUAUCGUGCAGAUUGUGCUCUCUUCAAAUGGGAGAAAUGCCUGAUGUUUAACAGCUGGACGAAGGAGAUGUACGAUCUCUGGACAACAUUCUUCCACUACUGUAGGAGACAGUUUCCAUAAAUCACUUCUAGAAAAGCAGUGGCUAUUUUCAAAGGGAAAGGCAGAGUGCAUCUAUGACAUCAUCUCUUCUGGCUGCGUUUUGCAAGCUGGGAUGGAAUUUUGCCAGUGACCCAAUGCCAUGCGGCAGUAGCCCUCGGCUGCCUGUGCCCGAGCACCAGAGCUACAGCAGCAGCCACUCUGCUCUACCAAUUGCAGAUGGAUCACAGCAGUGGAAAUACAGGCAAGAAACACACUUCCUGUGAACUGAAUUUGGGAGCAUGUGCCCUAAUAUAGAAGACAACAUGGUAGAGCAGCCAGUAGGUUAAUAGCCAUAUUAAUAAAAGUAAUAUAAA
rnacentral:lncRNA from 1 species